rnacentral:tRNA from 1 species
GCCGGUAUAGCUCAGUUGGUAGAGCAGCGCAUUCGUAAUGCGAAGGUCGGAGGUUCGACCUCCUCUUACCGGCACCA